rnacentral:sRNA from 1 species
UUAUAAAAGUCCCGGACAGCGGCUAUGCCGAAAUGCAAGCUGGCUUGGAUUUCGGCAUAGACAUUGGACGGGCUAACCCACAUGAGCAUGCAGACCGGCAGGUCGGAAUGCGAAUGCGGGUGGGAAUUGCGGGAGCGCCAAGGCGCGGAGCAAUUCACUUUUAUAA